rnacentral:lncRNA from 1 species
CAUCAUCUAUUAUUUUUAUAGCAAUAAUGCAUUCGUCUCGACAUUCAAAAUUAAAAAUAUAUUUUUAAUAAUUAAAAAUAUUAUUUAAAAAAAUAAAUAUGUACCGUAUGUUGCACGAGAUCCUAAGCCAGUUAAAAAAUAAAUAAUCAGAUUCUUCCAUCCGCAGCUCCCACGUGGCGUUUCCAGGAUGCACGUCUCUCUCUCUCUCUCUGCGCCGUUCCCACGUACGCGUGGCGCCCGACUGUGGUCCUUCUCGUUUCUCGGGGCCUGUCAGACAAGGAUGUUCACACCUCAUGCACACGUUUAAACGAGUGGCUCAGAGUCGCCGAUACCUUGAGUGUGUUGG